CCUACGGGAGGCAGCAGUGGGGAAUAUUGGGCAAUGGAGGAAACUCUGACCCAGCGACGCCGCGUGCGGGAUGAAGGCCUUCGGGUUGUAAACCGCUUUCAGUAGGGAAGAAGCGAAAGUGACGGUACCUACAGAAGAAGCACCGGCUAACUAUGUGCCAGCAGCCGCGGUAAUACAUAGGGUGCAAGCGUUGUCCGGAAUUAUUGGGCGUAAAGAGCUCGUAGGUGGUUCGUCACGUCGGAUGUGAAAAUCUGGGGCUCAACCCCAGACCUGCAUUCGAUACGGGCGAUCUAGAGUGUGGUAGGGGAGACUGGAAUUCCUGGUGUAGCGGUGGAAUGCGCAGAUAUCAGGAGGAACACCAAUGGCGAAGGCAGGUCUCUGGGCCAUUACUGACACUGAGGAGCGAAAGCGUGGGGAGCGAACAGGAUUAGAUACCCUGGUAGUCCACGCCGUAAACGGUGGGCACUAGUUGUGGGAACCUUCCACGGUUUCUGCGACGCAGCUACGCAUAAGUAGCCCGCCCGUCGGGAGGUACGAGUCGCGAAGAAGUUAAAACUAACUAAAGUAGUAAGUUAGACGGUACGUUGAGACGUUGCCGAGGACGACGACGAGGGAGGAGG
rnacentral:rRNA from 1 species